GAAAAAGACCCGGGCUCCCCUCACUUCUGCUCCCGGCCCAGCGUCACUGCGCCUGGUCCCAUUGGUCCAGUGCAAGGAGGACACUGGACGGCUUAGCUCCCCAGUAGGAGCAGCAUUUUCCCCACCGUGGUGACGGUCCCUCCUCCGGGCACAUGGUUCUCUCCUCCUCCCUGUAUCCCUUCGGCAGGAGGAGCCGAGCUGCUGCUCUGCCCAGGAGGAGCUCCCGUGCUCGCCCACCAGUCCUGCCAGCACUCACACCGAGCUUCUGUGAGCAGACAGGUGGCAGUCCGGGCGUCCAGCGGCAGGGGAGGAGGCCCCAGGUGCUGGCGGCUGUCCCCAAGGCAGGCUGGCACACUGUGGCCCAAGGGGAGCCUCUUCACAUCAACCUACAGGACCCGCCAGAGGCAGCCACCUGCCUGGAACUCUCCAGAAGCCCUCUCUCUGAACCUGGACCAGGGGCUCACCAAGAAGGCCAGUCAGACAAAGUGGACAAUUUUGCUGGUCUGGAAAAUCCUGAAAUCUGGAAACAACUGAUCUAGUGAUUAACAGAAGAAAACAUGAAUGCAAUCGGUUUGCCCAUCACUUGGCGAUAAGUGUUUUAACAGGUAAGUCACCGGGGACAACGUGGCUUGAAGGUGGCAGAGAUAGACCUGGAAGCAGGUGCCCCUGCAUGCUCCUUCGUGCGACAGCUGCAGCGAGUCUGCACGCCAUGCCUGUGGAAUGAAAGAGCAAGUCUUCACAUGGAUUUAUUGCCGUGUCUCAUUUUUCACCGAUUCCGAUGGAGUCAUCCUCGCCCCACGCCACUCGGGGUGGGAGAUGUGACUGUACCUGGGAACACCUGAGGUCAUCGCGCGCAUUCUCUUGCUGCAUCAUUUCCAGGCAGAGUCACCUUUCCGAGGCUCUGCCAGCUCCCUGUCAGGAAGGGAGGGGCCGGCAAAGCAGGAGACACCACCCGCAACUCCAGCAUCCUUUCCCCAGCUCUCCCUCCCAGUGUGGUCCAGUCUGGCUCUCCCUGAGUGAAGCGGGCCACAAAGAUGAAGCCGGAAACUCUCUGGAGGGAAGCAGUGCAGCCCUCACCCUCCAGGCUCUUCCCAAGUGAUGGGAAGAAGACGGCUGAUGGGUCCCAGUGGGAGAAAAAGGUCCCGCUUCAGCCCCACCCUGGCUGUUUGUGCAAGCCCGUAAUGAGCCUGCCUCACGUGUGUUGGAAGUGGUCCAGCUCCUGAUGAUUCCUACAGAUAUUGUUUUAACUCUAUAUUUCUGUGUCCAGCAAGAUGUGGGAUAAAAUUUCCUGGGAACCGUCCUGCCCCCACGCAUCUAGGAAAGUCCCGGGGAGUCAUACCAGCAGCCUUUCCAACACACAGCAGAGCUUGAUUGAAAAACAGCAGAGUCUAAAGGUUUCCCCAAAGGACCAGGAAAGAGGAGGCAGAGAGAUUUCCAGGGGGUGCGCCCGCUGCUCUGGGGCAGCACAGGGCAGGGCAUUUCAGGCCACAGAUGAACACUGAGCAGGUGGAAAUGAGACCCCCCACAUUGAACAGACCCCUUUCUAGGGAAACUAGAAAAAGAACGUUCUGGGAGUAAAGGGUGACAUCAAGGAAACUGGUAUGCAAGAAGCUGCACGAUCUCAGAAAUCCAUGCAAACACUCCUAUAAAAGGGGAUGUCCCCUGGGAACACCGAGGGCUCCCACAGAAGCCCCUGCACAGGGCAACAUCGGGGAUGGGCGCUCUGAAGACCCCUUGGCUCAGCUGCAUUAGGGAACACAGAUUCCAAGUUGCAGACUCUCUGGGGAAAGCCGGCAGAUGAAACCACCCAGGGUACAACUGAGCUUAGACCAAUGGAUAAGUAAAAUGACCAAAGAUGCUUCAAAAGGAAUUGAAAAUGUGAAAAGGAAAUCAGACUUGGCCACAUUUUAAUCUUAGCCCUCACAGUGCUGUGAUGUGGGCAAAAUGGAUGUGAUUAUCCCUGUUUUGCGGUAGGCACCUGAAGUCCAGAUAGUUCUGGGUCUUCUCAAGGAUCCUACAUUUAUUACAGACACAGCUGAGGGUUAACAGGUGUGUCAGGGGCACUAAGGACCCACAUCCAACUCCCCUACUAGCCAAGAACAGCCUGUGUGGCCACGGAGCAGCUAAGCCUCAUUCCUGAGCACAUUUUUCUAAGACAGCAGUUCCAUCAGACACACCUUUGGGAAAUCGUUCGACAUUUAGCCCACGCUGUAGUAAAGGGCUGGUUGGCAUUAUCUGCUCUAAUAAUAAAACCAUACAUAUUCAUUUUUUUAAAAAAAAUCAUCAAAGCAACUCUGCAGUGAAAGAUAGCAAACGCCCAGGCUUCCACUGGGCAGGCUCCAGGUGACGGAAUUGUUCGGGCACGGCCAUUUGUGCAAAUGCAGUAAUCUGCCAUGUUGGGAAGA
ensembl:lncRNA